rnacentral:rRNA from 1 species
UACGGGGGGGGUAAGCGUUGUUCGGAAUUACUGGGCGUAAAGGGUGCGUAGGCGGCUUUCUAAGUCGGAUGUGAAAACUCUGGGCUCAACCCAGAGCCUGCAUCCGAAACUGGAGAGCUAGGGUUCUGGAGGGGAAAGCGGAAUUCCUGGUGUAGCGGUGAAAUGCGCAGAUAUCGGGAAGAACACCCGUGGCGAAGGCGGUUCUCUGGGACGGUACUGACGCUGAGACGCGAAAGCGUGGGGAGCGAACAGG